rnacentral:rRNA from 1 species
GUGCCAGCCGCCGCGGUAAUACAGGGGGUGCAAGCGUUACUCGGAUUUACUGGGCGUAAAGAGCGUGUAGGCGGUUUGUUAAGUCGGGUGUGAAAUCCCUGGGCUCAAUCCAGGAAGUGCAUUCGAUACUGGCAGACUAGAGUGUAGGAGGGGUGAGCGGAAUUCCCGGUGUAGAGGUGAAAUUCGUAGAUAUCGGGAGGAACAACAGAGGCGAAGGCGGCUCACUGGACUAUUACUGACGCUAAGGCGCGAAAGCGUGGGGAGCAAACAGGAUUAGAUACCCCCGUAGUCC